CUCCCUCCCGAGCAGAGCCACGGCGGCAUGACGGAUGUGCCCGCCACCGCGGGGAGCCCAGGGUAUAGCAGUUGCCUGGAAACAGGCUGCUCUCGCGGCCCACACUCAGACCUUUGUCACCAUCUCAAGGACCUUUUUUUCCCUCUUCCUCCUUUCACGAUGGAGCCAGACCCUGCACGCAGCAGACACGGACUGAGGACUUCAUGUAUUCCAGAUUCUCCCCACAGCAACUGGAAGAAGUAGCUGACGUUGCUCUCCCCAUUUUACAGAUGUGAGAAUGGAAGAAGUUAAGAUGGAUCCAAGCCAGUUGAUGAGGAAACUGAGGCUCAGAGAGGGGAAGUAACUUACCCAAGACUGCACAGCAGUAAGCGGCAGAACCUGGACCCAGCCCCUGGCUCCAGACCCCCACUGCUCUGCUGACCUGCAGGGGCCUCGAAUCAACAUAAAGCCUUUCACCCCUAGCCUGCUCCUGUCUCAACCUCAACCUCCAGAGAACAUCCAUCCUCCAUGGAGCCUCCCAGCCUGAGCCCUCUGAGCUGCCUCCCUUCUUCUCUCCCCUCAGCCCAGGCUUCCCUAUCACCCCACAGAGAGCCUCGGAGCCACCCUUGGGAGCUUCACAGCUGCCUGGCUUUGGGAUCUUUGCUCUGAGAGACCCCAAGAUGGAGCAGCAGCCCCUAUGCUGUGGCCCACCGGGCAGGCUUGGUUUUAUGCCAUCUUCCCAGCUACCCCUUGGGGUACGGGUUUUAUCACCCCCUUAUACAGAAGGGGUCAGGGAUCAAAGCAGGCAAGCCAUUUGCCCAGAACCACACAGCUGUUGCCAGAGUUGGGAUCCAAAUGCAGGACUGUCCUUGGCCAUACCGCCUUCUGGAUGUCCCUACAGUGGCUCUGCCCAGUCAAGAGCCCCUGUUGCCCGGGGAGACCCCUCUUCACAUCCUCAUGACAAUGACAAUCCCACGAGUUAAACAUUUCACAUGGAUUCUUGCCUUUAGUUUUUCCCAACAACCUGCAGGGGAGGGGCAAUCAUCACACCCAUUUUACAGACGAAGAAACUGAGGCACCCAGUGGUUGCUUAGCUGGGGGCCCAGCAGAGCCUGUGCCUUGGUUUGCUAACCUGUAGAAUGGGGUCAUAACACAGCCUUGCAGGGUGCUUGAGGACUGUGCAAGGCUGUGGAAGCCAGGGGCUCUCGGAAACACCCCUGAGGGCUGUCCUCAGACAAGGCCGGAGGCCCGAUUGUGUUUUUCUCGACUCGCCAGCAUCCAGUCAGGGCCUGGCCUGCUGAAGGAAGGGCCCCAUGUCUCCUUGAACAUUUCCUCAGCCCGGGGAUGCCGAGAAAACGAUGAGUCAUCCACCCAAGCAGAGGCCUCCCAGGAGCUUGUGUCGGGUCCCAGCCGGGAGGGGAGGGCUCCAAGCUGGAGAGGGGGCCCGGGUAACACGAUGACUCCCGCGCUGGCCCCGAGGCCUAAGUCACGGGGUCCCCUCCACGGCCUCCCACCGCC
rnacentral:lncRNA from 1 species